rfam:Capsicum annuum cultivar Zunla-1 chromosome 10, whole genome shotgun sequence
UAUUGGUGAUAAGGAAAAUCACUGAUAAGACCUUUGAAUCUCUCCCACACUUGGUAUAAAUUCUCCUUAGGCUUUUUCUUGAAACUUAAUGUUUCAUUUCUAAGACU